ensembl:lncRNA
AACCUGAAGUGUUUAAACCUAGGGCCACAUUAACUGAGCUUAGCACAUAGCCAUGUCAUCGUAGACUUCCUGAUGUGAGGCGAUGUCUUGACAUAGUUAAAAGGGAGUUUAGGGAUGGGGCAUGAGAUUAAUCAGGUCCUCCUACUGACAGCUUCAAACAAAGAAGCCUUUUAGCCACCUGGUUUGUGUCUCUCACACCUGCAUUCAGAUUGCUGGGACAAAGCUUUGUACCAUCGCCUUGAUCCCCGUUCUUUUCAGUUAAUGUCUCCCAUCUCAGAAAGUGGGAGGAGUCUGCACCGCCUGGGGAAGGCUGCUGAGAAGAAAACAGGUUCCGCGCAUUUCUGCUGCUGCUGCUGCUGAUGCUAAGUCGUUUCAGUCAUGUCUGACUCUGUGCGACCCCAUAGACGGCAGCCCACCAGGCUCCCCCAUCCCUGGGAUUCUCCAGGCAAGAACACUGGAGUGAGUUGCCAUUUCCUUCUCCAAUGCAUGAAAGUGAAAAGUGAAAGUGAAGUCACUCAGUCGUGUUUGACUCUUCACGACCCCAUGAACUGCAGCCUACCAGGCUCCUCCAUCCAUGGGAUUUUCCAGGCAAGAGUACUGGAGUGGGAUGCCAUCGCCUUCUCCAACAUUAUAGUUCUACCCACAUGCAAUUCAGAUAUAUGCAGAUCAUUGUUUAAUAGGUCAUCCUUCUUUAUUUGCUUACAUUUUAGGCCAGUGAAUCACAUAUUUUAAAUUAAAUUUUGUUACCCUGACUUAUACGUAAAAUAUAGAACAAAACUCUUAGUAAAUUUGAUUUCUGCCAUUGU